UGAGUAACACGUGAGUGACCUGCCUUUUAGACUGGAACAACUUACCGAAAGGUGAGCUAAUGCCGGAUGAGUUAUAUAAGUGCAUGUUUAUAUAGGAAAAGUUGGGGAGACCUGACGCUGAAAGAUGGACUCGCGUCCCAUUAGCUAGUUGGUAGGGUAAUGGCCUACCAAGGCGACGAUGGGUAGCCGGCCUGAGAGGGUGGCCGGCCACACUGGGACUGAGGCACGGCCCAGACUCCUACGGGAGGCAGCAG
rnacentral:rRNA from 1 species